GUUUGAUCAUGGCUCAGGAUGAACGCUGGCGGCGUGCCUAAUACAUGCAAGUCGAACGAGGUGCUUUUGUAGCAAUACGAGAGUAUCCUAGUGGCGAACGGGUGAGUAACGCGUUGGGUGACCUACCCCCAAAAGUGUGGGAUAACAGUCCGAAAGGAUUGCUAAUACCGCAUGUGGUCUUCGGGUUUAGAAACUGAUGACUAAAGGAGCAAUUCGCUUUGGGAGGGACCUGCGUCCCAUCAGCUAGUUGGUGAGGUAAUGGCUCACCAAGGCUACACGGGUAGGGGACCUGAGAGGGUGACCCCCCACAAUGGAACUGAAACACGGUCCAUACACCUACGGGUGGCAGCAGUAGGGAAUAUUGCACAAUGGGCGAAAGCCUGAUGCAGCAACGCCGCGUGUGCGAUGAAGGCCUUCGGGUCGUAAAGCACUUUUCUGGGAGAUGAGCAAGGACAGUAUCUCAGGAAUAAGUCUCGGCUAACUACGUG
rnacentral:rRNA from 1 species